AGGUGCUGCAUGGCUGUCGUCAGCUCGUGUCGUGAGAUGUUGGGUUAAGUCCCGCAACGAGCGCAACCCUUAUCUUCAGUUACCAUCAUUCAGUUGGGGACUCUGGAGAUACUGCCCCGGUUAACGGGGAGGAAGGUGGGGAUGACGUCAAGUCCUCAUGGCCUUUAUAUCCAGGGCUACACACGUGCUACAAUGGUCCGUACAAAGGGUUGCGAGCCUGCGAGGGUGAGCUAAUCCCGUAAAGCGGAUCUCAGUUCGGAUUGGAGUCUGCAACUCGACUUCAUGAAGUUGGAAUCGCUAGUAAUCGUGGAUCAGCAUGCCACGGUGAAUACGUUCCCGGGCCUU
rnacentral:rRNA from 1 species